GAGCCUCCAACAUACUUUUACGCAAGAAAAAAGGACCAACUUUUCUUUUUCAUUUACUGCCAGUGGAACCAUGAUAUGCAAAUUGCACUUUUCACUAAAUCUCUUUUAGUCCCUAGUUUAAUUAUACAUUUGUUGAGACGGAUGGCCAACCAAAUUAUAGCAAGAAGCUCUGGCACAGUUGGAACAUUGCUUCACCUCUGUAGAUCUAGAACAGGACCCAAAUUUGGUGCCAAUAUCCACAAAAGCAGGCAGCACCAAAUCCAUGAACCUUUCACUCCAAACUGGCCCCUGUUUACCACAAGUUAUAUAUGAAUUUCCUGAAAUUCUUCUAUCUUCCAAAUAGGCUCACGUCUAAAUAAAUUUAUCAUUUAUAGUAAAAGCAAGCAAUUUAAGGCGUUUUUAGAAGAAACAAGAAUGUGCUAUGUUCUUUCAUGGUCCAUACUUGAAUAGGCUUUUAUAUAUAACCUUGUUAUCUGGAAAAUUUUGCUUCUGAUCAUAUAGCUAGCUCGCUGGCUGGCUGGCUAAACGGCAAGUGUUCUGCAGAUUUAAAGUCAAGUAAGCGGCUACUGUGCCGCCUACACAGGUAAGUGUAUAGUGUAUAUACAUACAACAAUGGCUAACAGCUAGUAUGUUAAGCUCUCUCACUCACUCAUGACAAUUUGUUUACUUGUGUCAAUUGUCUAACAUAACAACUCUGAAAAGUACAUGCAUUACCAAGACAUGUUCUAUAUAUAUAUAUAUAUAUAUAUAUAUAUAUUGGUGGGUACGGCAAACUCUUGAUUGAUCAUAAAACUAAAUGAACUUCCUAUGGACUGCCUUUGAAGCAUCCAGAAAGUUCAGGUCUCAAAUCUACAAGUUCAUUUCAAAGACUUUUAGCUCAUACAUAAACUUAACAAAAAGCGUGAAAAUAGGAAACCAGAUAUAUUAUAUUUAACAUUGUUAUUGUUAUUCACUAAGAAUAAACUUCAGGACCAAAGUAAAAUUGAUAAAAAUAAUUGUUCUUGUAUACUACGUAAUUCUCAAUUAAUCUAAAUCAAGUAUUUUAAAAGUUAUUCUAGGUAAGCAUUUUAAAUCACAAGAAUUACCUAAACUGAAAAAAAAGAGUAAAAGAUGUAAGCUAUUAACAAGAAGAGACGACAUAGAAAAAGUACCGUAGCCGCUUCCAAAAGUAAUUGGAUCCACUGACUUUCUGAUUUCCGAUCACAAAACAAUUAAAAUAAGUAAAAGAAAAGACACGAUAGUGUGACUAUGUGAUGAGCUCAUGAUUACUACUGCUAGUACAGAAUUACGAGGGUCCAUACAUAGUUAUAAAAGGAUCUUGUCGAGUCUCUAUAAAGUCAUCGUGCCUGUAACGAUACAAAUGGAAAAUCACAUUAGUACUAAGACUUGCAAAGAUGCUUCACAAGUAUAAAUAUAUCAUUUUGGCUUUGACCAAACAACACCUAUGUAAGGGGGUAACUGAUAAAUGAAGCACCACAUACUCUUUGCAACAACUAGAAGCAAGUUGAAGGUCUUCAAGUGAUUUUAGGUCAUCCUGCUCAGACCAUGAUAAUAAGCAUAUGUUAGUGAUCUUUGGAAGUUAUUGAAUAUAGUACCAAAUUAAACAUCAUUACUCUAUAAAAGACUUGUUAAUUGUGGGGAUUAGUUGGACCUGAUUCAUGAAAUGAACACCUAGCAUAAAGCAAUAGGUAAUGAAUCAUAGAAAUAGUGAAUGAAUACAUACUAGGAAGAAAAUGACAAUCAUCAUAGGAAGGAUACUCAAGUAAUUUGUUCAAUGUAACACCUGCAGAUCCAGGAGUGAGGAAAACAUGUUUCCGUCAUCAACCUGAUCGGUUAUCAUGUAUGUAUUUUAUAUGUGCCUUCUUUUCUCAAUUUUUCUGACUUGAAGCGAUCAACUUUUGUAGGAUUUACCCUUUCAUAAAGCCAUAACUAGCAUGGGAUUGGGUGAUUGAGUACUAACGUAUUAUUGAAAAGUGUUGAAGCAAUGUGCUUGGUGGAUUUGUGUGGGAUCCAUGACGGGGUUUCCAUUCUGAUUAAGCUCGUUAAUUUAUAUAUGAAUUGUACGUACGUAGUAGUCCUUUAAACACAAACAACCACCUUUAUUAUAGAUCUCCACAUAUUCUUCAACAUUUGAAAUUACUAUCUCCAAGAACUGUAUCAUGCAUAACAGCAUUUCAUUAUUAUAGAAUAUGAGGAACACAGAUGUUAAGGACUUGGAGGAUGUAGUUGUAUAUGAAUUUUCCUUGUAUACAAUUGAGCUCAUGAGAGGAAAUGAACCAUUUUUCCCAUUUCCAGAAAUCAGAAGAAUUUUCAGAAAAAAUUACUCACCUCCCUCUCUCAAUUCCACAAAAGUUACAAGAAAGAUCAAAUGUAGCAAUUAAUAAGAAAUAAAAAGGAAGGAGUGGGGGGUGGAGGAGGGAACUAAUGAACCACUAUAUAUAAACAGUGGCCGAAAAAUCCCCGCCUAGGCAGAAUCAAACAUCUACUUUACACUCCAAAUGAUUUUGUUAUGCCUACAAAGAAUUUUUUUUGGUAAUGUUUCAUGUAAUAUUUGCUUAGUAUAGUGUAACAUAUAAGCAUGGUAAGAAAAAUAAAUAAAUGAGACCGCUUAAGUAAAACCUAGUCCGCCUAGGCGCCCCUUCCACCGCCUAGGUUCGCCUAACAAUUUUUAGAACACUGUAUAUAAACCACAAUCAACGCUAUAGAAGACUUUUGAGUGCAUUAGCUAAAUAAAUCGAGUAGUCAUAUAUUAAGCAAAUUUGUACUAUCAAAUGUGAUCGCCUUCUUCAAUUAAAAAAAUUAUAAUUUACCAACUGGUCUUGGCUCAGUUGGUACCCCAGGCCUUUUACAAAGUAAGAAGUCUUGGGUUCAACCUCAACCCCUGAAUUAGCAAAAAAAGAAGAAAGAAAUUGAUAUUUUCACAACACUUUUUUAUAUUUUCACAUGAAAAGUAUCGUUAUAGAUGUAUAGCGACGGUGAAACCCAGCAACGGUGACAUUUUCAUGUGAAAAUAUUAUUUUCUAUUGCGGAUUUAUCAAUUUCCUUAAAAAAUUAAAGAGACAAUAAGAAAACUUUCAUAGAAUUAUUGGUAUGAAGAAUAAAGAAGAGGAGGAAAUAAAUAACUAAAACAAUAGUUGAGUAUAUUAAUAAAGUAAAUCCAAAGAAAGAAAGAAAGCUGACCUCCAGAAUGCUAACUACCUCGCCAGAACCUGAAGCUUGGCCAGUUGUCACAGCUUUCCAUAGAAAUCAGAGGAGUACCCUGUGGGAAUUUUAUGGAGGGCGAUGAAAUGUCCAUUAAAAUAAUCAGCCAGCAUCUAAACUCCUACACUCCUUCAUUCAAAUAAAUAUAGUGUGACUAUACAGAUGAGAUGAGACUUUAAGAGAGGGAGAGGGAGGAGAGAAAC
rnacentral:lncRNA from 1 species